CCAUUUCUCCUCAGUCUAUAAUACGACCAGCAUACACAGCUUUAAUGAGUCUGUUGAGUCUUCAAAUAUGAAUUUCUUGACAUGCAUUUCUGUCACCAAGUCUCAGAUUUACAGGGUUUUAAAAAGACUUGAUGUAAACAAGGGAGCGGGCUCAGAUGGUUUACCGUCUAUAUUUGUUUCCAGGUGUGCUUACGCAUUAAGCUCACCACUUUCAAUUAUUUUUAAUAAAUCUCUGAGCUCUGGUGUAUUCCCUUUGGCUUGGAAACAAUCACUGAUUUUGCCGCUAUUUAAGAGUGGUGACACCGGCAUGGUGAAGAACUAUAGGCCUAUCUCCAUUCUAACGGUUUUUGCUAAAGUUUUCGAAAUGGUGUUGUAUCCCGUUUUGUCUUGGCAUUUUAGACAGAUUUUUGCUACGGAGCAGCAUGGGUUCAUUAAGGCAAGAUCCACAACUACGAACUUGUUGUCUUUUGUCGAGGACUUGACUCAAGGUGUUGACCAUGGAGAUUCAUUAGACACUAUAUACACAGACUUUAGUAAGGCCUUCGACAGAGUUAACCACAAUUUACUGCUGUCGAAGCUGUCAUCGUACGGGAUUGCUGGUACACUUUUGCAUUGGCUUCAAUCAUAUUUAACGAACAGAUCGUCCACGGUUGUUGCGGGGGGUCACUCGUCGAUGUCCUUCCCAGUUUUGUCUGGGGUUCCCCAAGGCUCUCAUUUGGGUCCUCUACUUUUUAAUGCAUUCAUCAACGACAUUGGCUCGUGUUUUCGUAGCACAAAGUUCUAUAUGUUCGCCGACGACUUAAAAUUCUUCAGGAAAGUAAACUCAUCUCUUGACUCUGAAUUAUUGCAGAGGGAUUUGGACAGUUUGUUUGGCUGGUGCAGUGCGAAUGGCAUGAGUCUGAAUAUCAGUAAAUGCUAUGUAAUUCGUUUUACUAGAAAAAGACGCUCAUUUUCCCGAACGUAUCAUAUUAAUGGUGCACCACUAUCUGAGGUAGACUCUAUUAGGGAUCUGGGUGUGAUCAUUGAUAGUAAGCUGCAAUUCAGCACACAUAUUCAGAAUAUUACCAGAAAGAGCUUUAAAACAUUGGGAUUUAUAUUUCGCAAUUGCAAAGAUUUCAAAAAACCAAACACUAAGAUCACAAUUUAUAAUGCUCUCGUACGCAGUACCUUGGAAUAUUGCUGCAUUGUGUGGAAUCCUUACUAUGAAAUAUACAAGAAACGAUUGGAAAGUGUCCAGAAACGGUUUCUAUGGUACUUGUCUUACAACUACAAUCUGGGUAGGAAGUUACCCAGCUAUGAAGAUAGACUUUGCCACUUUAAUUUAGACUCUCUUCUAAACCGGAGAAAACUAAUGGGGGGUAUAUUUCUGUACAAAUUAAUUCAUGGAAUAACCGACACGCCUAAUCUAUUAACCCAGAUAAAAAUAUCAGCCCCUAAGUACCUACCAAGAACGAAGAAAUAUAAACCGUUUAUAAGAAAGCCCGCUCGUUCGAAUUUAGGUGCUUACUCUCCCUUAAACAGAAUCCUUUGGGACUACAAUAAUGUCCACGGUAGCGCGGUCUCCGUCAAUGUUCCUUCGGAGUCGUCCGAUUGCGUUGAACUUAUUUUAAGUGAAAUAGAUGUUUUUUCUGAUUGUCUCACUACUUACAGGAAAAAUCUGUCGCGGAUCAUCUCCCAAUUAAAUUAAUCAUAAGCAAUGAAUGAAAUGUAUUCAAAUCUUAGCUGUAUAUUUCUUUUAUUUUUGAUGUUAAUGCACUGUCGAUUGCACCUAUAAUUGAGGUGACAUCAGCCAUGAACUUUUGUCAAUUUGUCAAUGUUUUGUAUUGAUGAUCACUUUGUUGGUGCAACUUAAUAAAUAAAUAAAUAAAUAAAUGAUACAUUUGCCUUUCCAGUUGGAAAAAUACAACAACUACUACUACUGACAUUUGACAAGUACUUAAUUUCAAUAGUAGUUUGAUGUCACUUCCGUUGCAUACCUGCGUGACGUUCUGUAAAAAUUUUACCCACAUGCGCCUAAAGAAGUUGCACUUCAAAAACCGCAUCAAAAUCCGUUGCGUAGUUUUAAAGAUUUAAGCAUACAUAGGGAUAUAGGGACAGAGAAAGCGACUUUGUUUUAUACUAUGUAGUGAUACCGUGUUCCGGGUCGUCUGUUCGUAUUGGAGAGCAUUAAAGCUGUCAUAAUAUUUACAUUUACAAAUCAUUACAAUGAUUACGAUAUGUAUUAUUUACCGUAUCGCUUGAGCCUCUCUUUUUACUCCGUAUCAAAUAGCUGACGUUCUUGGCCUAUGGAGGCCACAGUGAGAGAUUCUAGAACAAAAGCAAACACGAAAUCGAAAUACAGUUGGUUAAUUUCACGCAAGCCGAACACGUAUUUACAAGGGAGUCAGAGUUUGGAUAAAAUCACGCCGAUCCUACAGAAGUUGACACCGGAGAGCUGCGCCAUGAUAGCUGUCAAAAUUGACAGACUGACAAAAGAACCAACGCAUCAGACCUUUGCGGCCUUUGAAAAAUUUGUUACGGAGCAAUACAACAUCCAAAUGUUGUCGGAAAGCAUCGGGCGAGCGAAAGAGACAAAAAAGAAAACGUCGAACAAGAUACAUCCGUAUUCGGGAAGAGAAAGAGAAACAGAGAUAUCUUAUGUGACCUGGUGAAAUAAUUCAUAGAUGUAAUCAUGUUGGAUGUAUUGACGAUGCUUGUGGAAUUAAAUGCACAAUUUGAA